AUUGAACGCUGGCGGCAGGCCUAACACAUGCAAGUCGAACGAGUGGCGGACGGGUGGGCAAUGUCUGGGACACUGCCUGAUGGAGGGGGAUCACUACUGGAAACGGUUACUGAUACCGCACAGCAUCGGCUGUGCCCAGUUGGGUUUAGCUAGUUGGUGGGGUAAAGGCUCACCAAGGCGACGAUCCGUAGCUGGGCUGAGAGGAUGACCAGCCACACUGGAACUGAGACACGGUCCAGACUCCUACGGGAGGCAGCAGUGGGGAAUAUUGCACAAUGGGCGCAAGCCUGAUGCAGCCAUGCCGCGUGUAUGAAGAAGGCCUGCGGGUUGUAAAGUACUUUCAGCGGGGAGGCGUUACCCGCAGAAGAAGCACCGGCUAACUCCGUGCCAGCAGCCGCGGUAAUAC
rnacentral:rRNA from 1 species